ACUCCUACGGGAGGCAGCAGUAGGGAAUCUUCCACAAUGGGCGCAAGCCUGAUGGAGCAACACCGCGUGAGUGAAGAAGGGUUUCGGCUCGUAAAGAUCUGUUGUUAAAGAAGAACACGUAUGAGAGUAACUGUUCAUACGUUGACGGUAUUUAACCAGAAAGUCACGGCUAACUACGUGCCAGCAGCCGCGGUAAUACGUAGGUGGCAAGCGUUAUCCGGAUUUAUUGGGCGUAAAGAGAGUGCAGGCGGUUUUCUAAGUCUUGAUGUGAAAGCCUUCGGCUUAACCGGAGAAGUGCAUCGGAAACUGGAUAACGUUGAGUGCAGAAGAGGGUAGUGGAACUCCAUGUGUAGCGGUGGAAUGCGUAGAUAUAUGGAAGAACACCGAGUGGCGAAGGCGGCUACCUGGUCUGCAAC
rnacentral:rRNA from 1 species